UAUGUGGAAAGUGGGCAGUUUGUUAGCCAGCAAGGUCUGGGGAGGCAAAGAUUUACAUACACUUAAUAGACAGACUCGGUUUCUGGGGCAGAUUCAGAUUCGGUGCUGGGACAUGAGAGGGACACUGCAAGAGCACAGACUAAAAGUGCUUUGUAGAGAGGUGAGCACUUUCUGAUUUGCAGGGAGGCAAGAUCUGAAUUAGGGCUUUUAUGGUCCUAGAGUUAUCAGCGGGAUGAAAAUUUUGUUUCUGGUGUGACUUAUUUCAGUUUAACUGCUGGAAACAUGUCUGUCCUUGCUGGCAUCUCCACUUCACCGAGCCCUGCUUUCAUGCAGUGCAAUGGGGUCUGUAGGGAAGAGCCUUCCCUUUUUCUUCUUCUUUCCCUUAUUUCUGUAUCAGUUUCAGCUGUAUUUCACUUUUUUGAUAGGGAAAAGAAUACUUUAAAUAUUGAGAGGAGUGCCUGGGAAUACAUAGACGUUUGGUUCAGUAGUUACUGUAAAGAGUCCAGACAGUGUUCAGCUGCCCAAGGACGGGCAAGAGAGGACCCAGGCACUGUUGGAAGGGUGGCUUCUAAUGAAGAGGUGGCAGGCGACCUCAUCUCUCCACUCAGAACUUGCUUUCUCUUUCUUCUGCUACUUUGGGCCUCAUCUAAAGAUGAAUUAAUGAGUUAACCUUUAUAAAGGGCUGUAGAAAAUUUCCUUUUCAGGGCAGGAGAACCUACAUUUUCCUCUCUGAACUUGAGGGGUCCUUGAUGCUCCCUCUGCAUCCUCUCUCUCCUGGCUGUGGCAGGUAUCAGGUCCCUUUCUCAGGUGGUUUCCUUCCUUCUCUCCGACCCACUCCUAUGGAAAGGGUGCCUGCACACAGCAUCACCAUGGGAGUCUGCUCUGGUCAGCAGAGCUCUCUCAUCUAACCCUGGUUGCAGCACACUGGAUUGCUGUCCUCUGCCACCAAAGUACUUGAGUGAAGAAGCUCUGCACCCUGGGAGCAUGGAGCUGAUACUGCCCAGGAAGAGGUGGUGGGGAGUAGCCACUAUCUUCCUGCCCAGCUGUGAAGACCUACAAUUUUGGGAAGGCUUUUCUUGCUGUGCCCAGCAUUUGAGAAGCGCUGUAACCAGCAGGAACAUUUAAAGAAAUGUCAGGCACUAUGAAUCUCUGGCAUCUCUGGGAUGAGGACUAAAAUUGCAUCUCUGACAGCUGAUCAGGAAACCAAGAAUUCAUUCACAUACUUACUUCAGAAGCCAGCAUCAGGAGAGGGCAUGAUGGGCACGGACAUGCUCUGACAUCUAUUCAAAUCUGUUCACUGCUCUUCUAAGAAAUAAUCACCUAAUUGUAUUUUCUGCACAUCAAACCACACCAGAGGGAAGAAGUUAUGUACCCUCGGUGCACUGAGUUGCUCUGGAAGUCUGUACAUAAAAAGAAUAUCUAAGGGCUGCCUUCUGAAAAACUGGAGGUACUGAGUUUUGCUGAGAAAGUUUGAAUUGAUAGCUAUAGUUCAUUUUGGAGGCUUAGAUUAGCCUGUAGGUAUUCCAGGCCAGGUCACAAAAUGUAAGAUCCAAGGUGCUGUUUUGUGAGGUGAGCUUGUCUGCAUGGGAGGAUAGACUUAACUCUUUGUGUGGUCUGAAAUAGAAUAUAUGCAUCCAGGAAUUUAAAAAUAUCAUAGACUUCAUCACCUGCUGCUAUAAAAAAAGGUGAGUGAACGGUCACCUGUUUUCUUUCAUAUAUGAAAGAAUGCAAAAGUGCUUCCUGGAAGCACUGCUGAGCUUCAGAGCACAGUAGUAACGCUCAAUUACCCAGUGUCUCAGAAAGCCAACAAGGCUUCAAUGGCUGCAGGUCUUUCCCUUGUGGUAGAGGGGUUGUAAGAAGUAUCAUAUGUCACACCUUCAGCAGUUGUGUGUUUAGUAAAAUGAAUAACGAAACCACUGUUAAAGGAGUGUCUGGGCCUGGGGACAGCUUGUGCUCUUCCACUUAAAGAUUCUUUGCAUUAACAUACUCCUUACCUCCUAAGACAGUGUAGCCACAGCCUGUUUGCCAGAUGCUUUCCGUGGCCAUGUGAAUCCCACAUCCGGGCAGUGGUGGUCCCCCACCUUCAGGGCAGCCACUUCUUGCUGCAGGCCCGUGAUUUGCACAUUCAGAUGAGGAAGAGGAAGCAGGGAGACUCUGGCUCUCCUCCGCUCCCAUGCAAGUGGCAAGUCAGUCCCCUCCUCACUUGCUUUCUUUCUGACCCCAUGUUUGGCAUUUCUGGUUGCAAAUGAGUCCUUCUUUGUCACAGAAAAUUGGGGUCUCUCAACCUUUUGUGCCCUGGAGUCUGAUGAUGGGGGACUUCUUUAGUAAUGAAGAAAACUUGGGUUCAAACUCUCUGAGGCCAUGGACAGCCCUGAUACAGCUACCCCUGAUUAAAGUUUCUCACCACUUGCUUUUUAUUACAAGACUUUGAUUGUUGUGGCUGCCACAUAAUGUUUAAAAUGGUGCCUGCUCUGCUCCAUGAGGUUCCUGGCUCACAGGAGGGCUGUGGGGACUGCUGGUAGCCAGUACCUCUUGUGGGGUACCUGUCAAGUCACUCUCAAGUCAUUGAAGUGAGGUAUGGGUGGAUUCAGAGGUCUAAAUUCUACCUAAGUUGCACUUUGGGCACAGGAGUAAUUUUUUGCUGAGCUGAUUGAACAAAUGUUUAUAUGCAGGUUGGCAAGAAGAAUUUAGUCUAAAAUAGCUCUCAUUCAGGUAAGUAUAAUGAAGAGAUGCUAUAUCCAGCAAUUUAGAGACAAAAAAAUGCAAGCAGCUCUGCACUACUCAUUUUGUGUUCAUGCAAUGCCCUGAAAUUAAAACAUAAGGUUGAAGUAACAGUGACGAUGAUUUCUCUACUUACCACAGAGCUCUUUCAGAAGAAAGUAAUUUAUUUAAGACUACAGUGUGAUUUAACUUGCCAGACCUUUCUCAGAGCUUAAAUAAAACUGCAAUGAUUAUACACGUUCAUCUGUCUCAGCAAGAAAGCCAUCAAUUAUGUUGGUCUGACCUGCCCCUUCCAGCAAAGGAAGGAUACAUUUAGAAUAUGUCACCCACCCACAGAGAAAAUAUAAUUUGGACUAUCUGGAUGAUGACUUCUUUGGGGACCAUUACAGUGUGCUUUCCUGGUUUCUGCUAAUAUAUUAUGCAUUAAUUUUUCAUUUUGAUGCACAGCUUUCGUACCUCAUUGGGAAUUGCUGUUAGCUUAAACCUGUGAAUCCCUAUCCAGAAAAAUUCCUCCCUCUGUUCUCCUCCCCACCAUGGCUUUUGUCUGCUCACGUAUCUGCCCCCCUCACUCUCAGAAAAACUUCUUCCCCUUUUCUAAUUUGACUACUUCUGCUUAACAUCAUUCAGACCCCAGCCAGGUGCCAUCAAUCUCUGGCACUGCCAUUUUCCCAAGAAGUAGAGGGCAGAGGUAAGUACUUGCAAUUCAGCAGUGCCGCGGAGGGUUGUGCUAGCUUUGUAGCAUGAGAUUUGUGGCCACAUUUCUUUCUUUCUUUUUUUUUUUUUAGAAAAUGUGCCAUUUUCUAUUUCCAACAAAUAGUUCAAACAGGUCAAAGUGACUUUUUAAAGUGCAAUACAUGGUUUCUCAGAUUGGACAAUAAAGAGCGCGGAGUAACCAUGCUAUUGUGCUGCCUGCAAACUAAGAAUUGGUGUCGUGUGUCAGAAUUGCCCUAAAGGUACAUAUUUAGUCUGAAAGCAAAGAAUUUCUGUUAAAGGCACUGAAAAAACUGCACAUAACCCUGGGGAUGGUUUUGGAAUUUCUGUAGCAUGUUCAAACAAAACAACAUUUUUUUUAGGUAGAAACUUAGAAGCAGAAAUUUAGAGAAACCUUAGGAUGUUUACUCUCUGCUUAUUAAAGCUACACAUAACCCUUUACUACAAAAGUGAAUUAUAUGUCUAGAUCAAAAGCCAAACUCAUCGUUAAGCAUGCUAGUAAAUUUAUACAAUAGCUCACGGAAAACUUUUAUCAAUUCAGUAACUCCUACAGUUUGUAUGACUAGUGAUGUCCCAUGCCAAAGCCAGGGACUGGUUGGAUAAGGAGUCAGAAAAUAUUUGUUAUUAAAAAAAAAACAAACCAAAACUGGAACUACCCUGGCAUGUGGCACUGGUUUGAAGUAAGGCAGUAAGUGGUGAAAUUAAUUUAUGUCUAGUAAUGACAACUUGAUCAAGGAACCACCUUUCACAAAAGGUCUUCAGCAAAUCAGGAAACACAGGAAUGCUGUAGAAACCAUUUUGAAAGCCUAAGCUGAAAUCCACUUCUGUGGUGGAAACCAGAAAAUUGAAGUUAAGAAAUUAGUUUCAAUUUUGCAUUACAGAUCUCUUAAAAAUGAUAGUCUCAUGCUCCUUGCACUGCAUAACAUUUUUCCUUAUAUGUUUUGUACUUUUCAAAAAAUGUUAUUUCUUCUUAACUGCAUUAUUUCUAAUUGGAAAUGUUUCCUUCAAGCCUUCUCAGAUAAAUAUCUUUCGGAUACCUUUAGUUUAGAAAAAACUAACCUGUACUACAAUGACGUCACUACAAAAGCCAAAACCACCUUAUGCCCCUCUGUCAUCUUCUAGUGCUGCUUUGUUAGGACCUCCAAAUCACUUGCCUCCUUGAAGGGUCAGCUGCUGAGGGUCAGGAUGCCCGACCCCACACCCCAGGACGUUCUGCAUGGCCACCCUCCUCCAUACCCUGCCCAUGACCCUCCCCAGCCCGUGGUCAUUGCUGCUUUGCCUUUGCUACAGACUGUUCCAGUUGUAUCCCUCCCACCUGAUGCUGGUCUGCAGCCCACCUGCAACCCAGCAGGCACAGUCAGGCUGAGGUCUCUCACCUGACGAGGGCUCUUCUGGGGAACACUUUGAAAACCAUGGACCUGUGAGUAGUGUUUCCAUUUUUUAAUGACUGAAGAAGACAUCUCGGGGCUCCAGGCUUCUUUUGGGAGGAAAGUGAGCUAUGGAUUUGAAUGAGUGCCAGCACUAUAAAUGAGGCUAUUAUGGGUAGUGCUGGUUUUCUGAAGACAUGCUGUUGGUGGAGGUGCUGGUGAGAGACAUGACACAGUGAGGGCCAAGCUGUGCAGCCUUAUGGCAUGUGUGUUGGCAGCCCUUGGCAAUUGGCAGGAGUGGUCUCUCUAACAUAUGGGUCAUGCAGACAACAUGAGGAAUAGCUAAGCUUCCAAAACUACAUUCCUUGGUAUCUGAGUGCCCUGGAGGGGAAAUGAAGAGCUAGAAAACAUGAUGGCAGAGAAAGUGGCCUCCAGAGCCCAGUCCUGGGUACUGUGACAGUGUAGGUGCAGCCAGAAAUUGCUGAGAAACACUCUUUUACUAAUUUUGUAUAUUAGAAUAUUUUAAAACCUUCUGGUUUUGCAUAGAAAUGAAUCACAGGGUUCUGUUUCUGAGAGACCAAGAUCAAAAAAGGAAACCACAUGGACUGGGAGCAGGAACUCUUAAUUUGUGGUCUUUUGUUUUUAAAACAAACCAAGCCUGCAGACCUCAGUAUUGCAUAAUCCCAUGCUCAGGAAUUUUGUUCUGAACUUUGGCUUUAGGAGAUUACCAUAUGAGCUUCUACUUCAAAUCUAAUUAUUCCCUAAUCUAUGUAUUUCUUUCUACACACAGAUCUCACCAAUGAGAAUAGAAGAUGUAGACCACGGAAGACUGAGGCUUUAUGUCUCAAAUGACCACAUAUUUUGAGAUGCAGUUUGGUGGAAAAUCUGUCUCCAAAACAGGGUAAAAGCCCCGGUCACUGAAAAAUGAGCCCAAAGAGGAAAGACAGCCCAAGGCAACCCAGCCACGUCCUGCUGCAGAGGAGAACAGAAAAGAUGGCAAGCGAGAUGAGGGUAUUUUCCAGAGUUCCUGAAAAGCCCUUCUGCAUGUGACCCUGUGAACAGACUCACCAUGUGUGGAGAAUGGAAUUAGUGUUACUGUGAGUGAUGUAUUUUGGCAAACAACUCUGGCUAGCUAUGGGAAUUUCUGAGUAAACUCCCUGUUGUUUCAUGUUUCCAAGCCUGGACUUUCUGCAGGCCACAGAGUUGGGACACAAAAUCAGGCUGGUGCCUGCUAAGGAUCCAAGAAAUGACAAACAACAGAUAAAUUGAAUUCAAAGGACAUCUGCACAGCCAUUUUUUCCAUCAUCACCUCUGGUCUUCUACAAGAGUGGUUCAUGCAAAUUAAGACAUACAAACAAGAAGUGCUCAGAAAGUGAGUGAUCAAGAGGUUAGCAGCACCUGUAGGAAACUGGAAAUCGUGACAGUGCAAGUGAACCUCCAUGGAGUCAGUUGGCGUGAAGAAGACCGAACUUAGGAACUGGAUUUUAGUGCUUGGACUGGUAUUCCAGAAGACGUUUGCACUAUCCUCACUUCUGCCUCAACUGUUUUCUAGAGUGGAAAUCAACUCAUUGGACUAAGAGCUGUCUCAGGCACUCAUCAGUGGGAGAGUAUAAGUGGUGUAUGCAUGUUCUGUGCCAUUAACAGUUGAUAGAGUGUAAUUUACUGCUGUCAGUGUGGCUAUUGUUCCUAAUCUACAAAACUUCAAAAAGUUUUAGAACAGUUUUAUGCACAAGAAUUUCAAAAAGAGAGACUAACCUUAUCCUGCAGCACCCCAGCACUCGGUCUUGGUGUUUUCCUUUCUCAACAUUUCACAUGUUCUGUGACUUGGCCUCAUCUUAAGACCCUGCAGAUGAAGUCUUUGCAAUUUGCAAUUAAUCAUUUUGCUGUUGCUUGCAAGGGAAUAGGAUUUUAUCUCUAGGAUAAAGGGAGGACCUUUCCUCUCCUUGCUCCAAGGGACAGACAUAAACACAUAAGCAAGGGCAUGAUGGAGGAGGGAGACGGGGUGUUUCCUCUCUGAUGCCCUCUGUUUCUCCUUCCUUCAGUACUGUGGGGAGAAGCUGUAAGGAGGCUGCAGGCAUGAUCCUGGCUGCUUGGGUGGGGCAGGAUCAAAUAGGGAAGACCAACAGCUUUUUCCUCAGUCCAUCAACAAUAAAUCUUACAGGCCUGGUCAUGUGCUGAUAUUGCUGUGGCCAUAAACACCAAUGUUGAGUUGUUACUUGGGGCUGGGAGGAAUUUCAUCCCGCAUUUGAAAGGGUUAAUAUUUGUGGUGAGUCUUUCUGAAAAAGGGUAUCCAUGGUGGGGUUUUUUGUAGUCACACAACUUCUUUGUCACAUGGUUUUAUACAGUGAGGCUGAGAAUUGGAGUAGUGGUACAAGGAAUUUGAAACAAAGCCCUGAAUUUUAAUUAUUCCAGGCAGGCAGAGGAGUUCUCUCUCUCUAUGAAUGAUAUUUAGGGAUUUCUGCAGCUGAAUGCCAUUAUCAAAGACAACAUUUCGAAUGAAUAGCCCUACACAUAUUCUCCAUGGCUGCCAUAUGAGUAACUAUGAACACUUCUCGAUCUUCCUCUUCCCACUCCCCUCUCCCACCUCAGCUAAAGCACAAACACUCAUUUCAGGACUAAAUAUAUACUCUUAAAUAACUUCUGACAUUUCUUUGUUGCUGCCUAAUGAAGGCUGGGUUGAUGAGCUAGAGAGAAGUUUUAUAUAAGCCCUUGUUGAGAUGUUGUUGUAGGAUCGGAAGUGGGCAGCACCGACAAUUGUUAGCAUUUGUCUCUGGAGUUUAUUUAACUGCAGGUCUGUAAGUCUGCAUGUCUGCUUGGCAUACAGGGCUUUGUUGUAUUGGUUUUCAGCCUCAGUGAUGUGUCAUGGUCCUGAGGACUGCGGGGUUCAAAAAGCAAGCCACACUGCUGUCCCCGCUGUGCUAACAAGGGGUUUCUGUGUGCCCUUGUUUGGAAGGAGAUGUCCCACCAGG